UCUUACAUUUUUCUUUUGUACUAAGUUUUUGAGAUCCAUGAUAUGUUUCAUAUUUACAGCACAUUUCUAUUAGGACCCACUGUAUUCCAAGUGCCUAAUAAUCCCUGUGGCUAGUGACUACUGUGUUGGACUGAAUUGUUCAAGACUUAAAUAGAGGGCUUGAGGGUGAGAAUUUCCUUCUUCAGAUCUACUGGGAUUCCUUUGAGCCAUAUAAUUUCUUAAAACAAAAUGACUUUCUAAAUCCCAUACAAUUUUUCUUUAUGAGUUAAAAUACGCAUUGCAGAUACUUUUUAAAAAUAUUUUCUAUUUACUGAUUUAUUUAUUUUUAGAAAGAGAGAAAGAGAGGGUGUGCGCACAAGUGUGCAAGCAAGGGUGAAGCAGAGAGAGAGAGGGAGAGAGAGAAUCUCAAGCAGGCUCCAUGAUGCCAGUGCAGAGACUGAUGCAUGGCUCCAUCCCACAAACGAUGAGAUUAUGAUCUGAGCUGAAAUCAAGAGGCAGAUGCUUAACCAAAAUCAAGAGUUGGAUGCUUAACCGACUGAGCCACCCAGGUGCCCCAACACUAUAGACACUUUUGCACAAUUUUCCAUUGGUUGUGAUUCUGAUUGAUUCUAAUUUUUGCUUUUUGCCAAGUAGGUGAUUGUCGUUGCAUCUUUACCCUAUUCUAUCCCCUGUUCCCCUUCCCAUGCCCUCUCCUGCACAGAGGUGAAUGUUCCACACAUUUAAAGGGCCAUACUAUUUACCACAAUGCUAAGAUUUGCUCCACACGACUCAUCAGGUUUUUCCUCAACCUGCAAAACAGAGAGGAGAGCAUCAUCUGAGAAAACUAUAUUGAAGUAAUUACAGAACAAACUUCCACGUCAAGGAUGAAGAUAUGAGUUAACAAGAUAAAUGAGCACAGAAACUACGAGUAGGCUGCAAAAGGGAAAAUGCUCCCGGAGAACAUCUGUUUUGGGUAAAGCAAUUUAAUUACAAAGAUCAUGGUGGUAUCAUCAGGAUUUAUUUCAAGAGAAGAGCAAGAAGCAAAAGAGGGCGGUGGGAACCCUUGACACCCUCCUUUAUCAUCAGCAAUGUAGGAGCCAAGAAAAAUCUGCCUCCUUUUGUUUGCCUUUGUAUCAAUUUCCUCUUCUGAAAUAAAGAAGUCCAAGCAAAGUGGUCUGGCUUUUGAAAUAAUAUAGAUAUUCCGUGUAUAUAAAAUACAUACACAUAGACACACUUGUACAUAAUAGAUACGCAUACGUGCACACACACACACACACACACAUUCCAGUUUUAAGUGUAUUUAGAUGUAUUCUCUGAGCAGUAAAAUCCACCUUAGAGAGUUAUAGACACUGCUAAGUUUUCUGAGCUUUCCAGGCCUAUUUUAAUUCGUAUAAUGAUUUAACAUCCUUGUUAUGAAUGUGUAGGCUCAGGAGUAGUGGUUCACCUACGUGUCUUCAAGACUAACUAAAAACGCUUUCCAACAAAGCUUAUGCUGGGCAAAGACUUGUUUAGGAAAUAACAUGAAGUUGACUGUGAUUUAUGGAGAAAUGGCAGUUUACACUAAAAACAAAAAAGAU